UACGUAGGGUGCAAGCGUUUGUCCGGAAUUAUUGGGCGUAAAGAGCUCGUAGGCGGUUUGUCGCGUCGGCUGUGAAAACCCGGGGCUCAACCCCGGGCCUGCAGUCGAUACGGGCAAACUAGAGUGCGGUAGGGGAGACUGGAAUUCCUGGUGUAGCGGUGAAAUGCGCAGAUAUCAGGAGGAACACCGGUGGCGAAGGCGGGUCUCUGGGCCGUAACUGACGCUGAGGAGCGAAAGCGUGGGGAGCGAACAGG
rnacentral:rRNA from 1 species